UACGGAGGGGGCUAGCGUUGUUCGGAUUUACUGGGCGUAAAGCGUGCGCAGGCGGUUUUGUAAGUCAGACGUGAAAUCCCUCAGCUUAACUGGGGAACUGCGUCUGAUACUGGAUGGCUUGAGUUUGGGAGAGGGAUGCGGAAUUCCAGGUGUAGCGGUGAAAUGCGUAGAUAUCUGGAGGAACACCGGUGGCGAAGGCGGCAUCCUGGACCAACACUGACACUGAGGAGC
rnacentral:rRNA from 1 species